AAGCAAAACUUCUGAGGAAGAGGUGACCAGCUGCAUACUGAGCCUUUCAGCAAAGGAAGCCAAAGUCAUCUCAAAUUCCAUUAAGAAGUGGCUGAACUGGAACGUGCCUCUGAGAACACCAUCCAUUCUCAAUUUAAGCUUUUAGUGAAAAGGACCUCAGAAUUAGAAGGAAAUUCAUUUUGAAUAUUCCAGAUAUGCACAGAACCCUUGGAGUACUUCAGCUUUUGAGACUUCAGAUUUGGUUUCAUUGUCAUUCCUCUUCCAUUUGGCAUCAUUCCCAAAAAGCUUAUUUGCCGUCUGUACAGCUGAGAAGCUUUUUUUAUAAAAUCUCGUCUGUCCUUGCUGUUGAG